AUUGAACGCUGGCGGCAGGCCUAACACAUGCAAGUCGAGCGGAGCGGCGGACGGGUGAGUAAUGCCUAGGCAUCUGCCUGGUCGUGGGGGAUAACGUCCGGAACCGGGCGCUAAUACCGCAUACUAUCAGAUGAGCCUGGGUCGGAUUAGCUUGUUGUUGGGGUAAAGGCCUACCAAGGCGACGAUCCGUAACUGGUCUGAGAGGAUGAGCAGUCACACUGGAACUGAGACACGGUCCAGACUCCUACGGGAGGCAGCAGUGGGGAAUAUUGGACAAUGGGCGAAAGCCUGAUCCAGCCAUGCCGCGUGUGUGAAGAAGGGCUUCGGAUUGUAAAGCAAUUUAAGUUGGGAGGCGUUACCAACAGAAUAAGCACCGGCUAACUUCGUGCCAGCCGCCGCGGUAAUAC
rnacentral:rRNA from 1 species